UUACGGCCACAUCAGGUUGAAACACCGGUUCCCGUACGAUCACCGAAGGUAAGCAACGUCGAUCCUGGUCAGUACCUUGAUGGAUGACCGCAUGAGCAUACCAGGUUCCGUAA